CGUCGUCUUCCGCUCACUUCCGGCGUGCUGCGUCACGGCCCGCCCGAACUGCGCCCGGGGGGACAGGUUUGAGCGUGGCACCGAGGCACCCGCGCUGUGCUGGGGGACAGGUUUGAGUGUGGCACCGAGGCACCCGCGCCGCGCUGGGGGACAGAAUUGUGUUGUCAAGUGAAUUGCUGGCAGGAGGCAGACGUGCCUGGAUGGAAGAUUUUCAUGUGGCUGGUGAAUCAGCUCGAAAAUGUAAAAAGGUGAGCAUUAAAACAGGCUGCCUCCUACUUUAACCCCAUUAGAAAUCACGAGUUGUUGCAAAGUACCUUAAUGCACUCAGGGUGCUCGGGAUAAAGGAAAGCCGCAGUUGCUCCCAGAGGAGCUUCCCAUCUAAUUUUAACCAUGACACAAUCGGCGACAGUGACAAAUGGGGGAGGGAGAAAAGGGGCAAGGGAGGAUGAGGGUGACAAUAAUAAGAUUACACGGUCACUUAGGUUCAUUAUGUGCACGUCUUUGUGGCACUGCUGCUCCAUUAUGUUUGUGAUGGGUGGAGGAAUGACUUUGGGAGAGGAAGGGGCAAAGAGCAGAGUAGGAGAAAAGCCAAAUGUAUUUUUGUGCAGGUGACUUUAACCAGCAAUGCCUCGCUCUUGGGCUGAGGAGAAGUCCAAGCAAGUGGACACAGGAUUGGGAAAAUGGAUUUUUUCCCCUCCUCCAGUAUCGAUUUGGAUUGCCAAGAUUUAUUUCCCAACUCACAGCACUUUAUACCUGGGCAUAGAUGCCUACAGCUGAAAAAAAGGGCCAAUCUCAAAGUGCACCAGGUUGUUUGUUAUCCUUAAGACGAGUCAUUCCCUUCAUUAAACAGUUUGCACAGCUCUUUCACCACCUUGUGCCCUACCACAUAUCCUGAGCCACAAAAAUAGCUGGUGAUGUAAAAGGUUUUGAAAGUCUGGAUGGGAAGAGCUGCUUCUGCCAUAAAUGGCCAAGCCCUGAGCCAGCCAUGCCGGGCCCCUCCUGCCCAUACCACCUCUGCCACUCCCUCGCUAUCACCAUCCCCUCCCCUGAGGUGCGGCACAUCCCGGGUCAAAGGCCUGAUUUAAUCUCUGCUGCCACUUUCUCCACAGCUCCUGCCAAGAAGGAAGGAGCAGGGCUCAGCCCUCGGUGCUGCCCCAGGGGGGUUUGCCCUUUCUCAGCAAAACAGCCUUCCCAAAUGAACAUCCGGGCGGGAUUCGAUUGCUGCCAGAGCAGCUCUGUGCUGUUGAUGGACUCAGCUGCUCUAUGCUGUGCCUGCAGCCAGCAACAAUAAAGCAGGCUCUUAUUAAAUUAACCUGCUAAGACACAGAUCCUGCAGGGAUGUUCAGGGAACAGACAGAUGGCACAAGCAAGGGCCAGGAAUAAUUGCAAUCUCCAUCUCACCAACAUGAGAGAUGAAUCCUGCCCGGUGCUGUGCCCAGCAGGGAGGUGGGACUGGGAGCAAUACCUACAAAGGAGCCUCUCCAAGCCAUGGGUGGAGCAAGGGGUCUGGAACAGGACCUGUGCAUGCCAGGGUGGGACAGUACCACCCCCCAGCAGCCAAAGCCUCCCCACUGCAGGCACAGUGUGGGCGCUGCGCGGCCACCACCACCUCUUGUGGGCUGUUCCUGCUGCCAUCAUCAAUCUGCUCUGACUCCCUGUGUCUGCUCGAGCUGCAAAGCAGGCUCUCCUCUGCCAGGAAGCCUGCAGCAGGCUGCUGAGCCAGGGCAGCAGGGAUAGCCCUGAUUUCACCUCAGUUGCCAUCUAGCUGGGGACGUCAUUUGCGUAAAUACAUGCAAAACCAGCUUAAGAGCCAGUCUCCUUUCUUCUUUGCCUCUUCCAGAGGUUUUGCUAAUCCACUUAUUGUGCCUUAUGGUGUUUAGCAGGGAAGCUGCAGAGUAGGAGCAGCUCCUUAGGGCUCAAAUGGCUACUGGAGCCCCAGGGGCUGCUCUCACAUGCAGCUCAUUCAAGGAGGUCGUGUUACACCAGUCCUGGAACUGCAAUGACAGCUUUUGAUCUCAGCCCUGUCAGAUCCCAGUGAAAUGUGUCUUAGGGGUUGAACGUGUCCACCUGGCCCAGACUCCUAAUUCUGGGGCUGUUUCAGAACCUGCAGAGAUGCUUUUCUUUUUUGCCAGCUUUUCCUGCCAAUAUAGAGAUGACUCAGAGGCAAAUCCGGAGGACCUUUCUCAGAAAUUUGUGAUUUUCUGCCAUCCCUCAGCUUUUAGCCAUUACUUUAGUUGCAACAAAAGGCACGAUGGUGCUUCAAAAGAGGUAAAGGACAUUUUCCAAAGCAAUUACCAAUUCUGAAGCAGAAGUAGGGCUGAAAUAUAAUUGAUACAAGGAGACGAUUGGGAUUUCUGGGAGAAGCAUCUCUCUUUGGCUCACAGACAUGGUCCCAGAUCACCAGCCAUUUAGAAGCGCUUGGCCCAGGAGCUGAUCAGCACCACAGGGGAAGAUGCUGUUGCUACACCCAGCCACACUCACUGCCUGCAGCCCCUCACCUCCCCAGCAGCCCUCUCUCCUGGCUUUCCCCUCUGAUGCUGCAUCUCCUGCCCUCAGGAUCAGCGUCGAGGGGGUCUCUGGGUGCUGACAGUCACCGCUCUGUGGGAGCGAGCCCGUGCUGGUGAAGCCAGCCAUGUGGUUUCACGGGUCAUUCCUCUUCCUAUUUUCUCCAGACGUUGAGCUCUCUCCUCGUUGCCCUUCACAGUCCAAGCUGCUGUAAUCCUUUCUGCAGUGCCUGGAAGCGCCUCCAGCUAUUGCUCUCCGGGUCUGUUGGGCUCACAGCGAGCUGCAGCUCCCUGGCUGUCAGAGUGGCCUGUCCUGCACACACCCGACACGAUGCCAGCACAGCAGCCUCUCCUUGGGUACCACCUUCCACAAAUUUCUGCAAAGCUGAGGGGACGGGGAAGGUUUGCCUUUGUUAAAUCACCAACACGUGGGACAGCCUCUUCACAGAAAUACAUAUACAUGCAUACAUAUACAUACAUAUUUUAAAGUUUCUAGCCAACAGUGGAGUAGAACUGAAAAUACAGCUCCUUAAGGCUAAAAAAGGCAACAGUGAACACAUAAACCAAACCUGUUGCUUUAAACUCCAAAUAAAAAAAAGAAAGGAGGGGGAAGGUAAAUACCCAGUCAAGACAUAUUUUUAAGAUUUGUAAGUAUAAAGCAAUUUUAAAUGGAUGUCUUACAGAAAGGUUUCCAUUUGCUUUUACAAUUCCACGUGUUUUCCUUUUUUAAUCAUAUUCCUGCAGCAUUUGAAAUUCAAAUGCUACAGAAAUGUGUAACCUUACUCAUGAAAUUUGCUGGCCAAAUGAAGCAGACAACAAUUAAUUAGAGUGAAACCCCCUGCUUUACUCCCAUUGGUGAGAACAACAGAGAGAAAAUGUAAAAUUCAACCCAAAUGGGGUAUUGAGAAAAUAUUUUAAUAUGAUGUUCAUCUUAAUAAGCAAAACCAUUUCUUUCCUCCCUCUUUUUUAGUAAAUUGCUUUUCGCUUGACAAUUUCCUCACAGAGAAGUGACAAGUAUUAUUCCGAGUCGUUAAUUCCUCCAUGCAGGCGCUGAGCUCAUUAAAGCGUGCUGAGUCCCCGGGCGGGCACUGCCAGGUUGUGCAGUGACCUGAGACCAGAACACCCCUGCCUUGUGCUGUCCCCAGCCCUGGGACAGGCACUGUCACCGAGACAGCCAAGCAUCUCGUCUUCGUGGCUCCUCAGUGCCUUGGGUGGGUGACACGGGGACAUUUCUGUUGGAAUACUGAUGGCCCUUUCCUGGAGCAUCACUCCUGGCCGGCAUGGGAUGCACAAUAUGUGAGUUCUGGCAGCACUCAUGGCAUGUGGGAAAUUCUUCCCAGGUGGGCAGUGCCACUGUCACCAAAUGCUGCAGGGUGGCACAUCCCACUUGAUUUAGAGUCAUGGAAUAUAAAAUCAGAAUAUCACAGACCAUCUCCCUGUUCCCCAUGCUGAGGACACUCACUUUCCCAUUCAUCUCUUUUCCCCAGCCACACAAACACAUCAGCAGAGUUCCCGUGCCUGGCAUAUGUCCCCAAAUGGCCACCCUGCACAUCUUGGAUGAGAUGCCUGAGGCCAGAGGGAAUGGCUUUCCAUAGCAGUGGCAGAGCCAUGGGCAGUGGGAGCCAGGCAGAGCUUCUCCCCAGGCUGCGUUUGCCAGCAGCCAACAAACCGUCUGCAGAGCAGGAACACGGCGAGCUCAUGAUGAGACACUUGAUCAGCUUCCCUGUCAAGGGAGGCUGAUGGGACAAAGCUGUGUGUCCUCCACACCAGAGCCUGUCAGCUCUCCUGGAAAGAACACCUGGCUGCUUGGAGACAAUCCAGACACCAGCAAGGGUCUUCGUAACACCCUGGAGAGCUGUAGCCUGGAUGACAUGUGGCAUCCAUCAUCAUCAUCAUCGAAGGGAGCCAAACCAGCAGACCUCAGAGGCUGACUGCUCCAGGAGCCUGGGAACCAAGGGGUUAAAGUGCUUGGCCAGGGAAAGUCCUGGGAGGAGAAAAGCACUGAAACUGCUUAAUUAGAGUAUUUAAAUUAGAUGGGGUUGCAAAGCAGUUAAUUUCUCAACUUGAAAAAAACCAAAAUUAAUAUUUGCCAGCCAGGAUCAGAAGCAGUGGGAGCCAUCGACAGCUUUGCUGGGGCUCCUCGUGCUGGGGAGGACUCCAGAGGUCUCUGCCAUAAUUACCUGCAGUCUUUAGCAUUUUGUUCUGCAGUUUAUGAACUUGCUUGAGCAUUUUGUGGAUAAAAGCCGGUGAUCCAAACCCCAGCUGUAUUUCUGCUUAAAGAAGCCAAGGGCUGCUGCCUGGCAUUGCAGUGUGACACUUUGGUGUUUCAAAGAGUUUCCUAAGUUGCACAGACUGGAGAGGAUCAAACCAGUGGCUGGUGGAAGCAAACUGUGGCUCUGCCAGGCUGGUGCUCCCUCCCAGCCUCCAGGACCGGGCAAGCACCUCCCGUGCCUGCACAGAUGGACCAACAAAGAGCCCUGCACGGGCCGAGCCAGCACUCACACUGAGAGCUCACUGCCCCAUUGAUCCACAGCCAUGGACACCUCACUGUCAGCAGCCCCUGAGCAAGCCCAGCCAUGCCAGUGCCAGGGAGAGGAUGCUCUUCCCUCUGCCUUGUGCCAGAGCUCCAGUGUGGGAAUGUGGACUUGGGAUGCUGGGGGGACAGUGCUGGGACUCAUCCCUUGAUUAGUCCUUGUCUAUGGGCUGACAGCUUUUCUUGCUCUGGUCCAUCUGCCUCACCCCUCAGGCUUUUCUCAUCUGUUUCUUGCUGGUCUAAUCUUUUCUCUAAUAUUUAAUCCCAUGCCAAAUUCUUUCCCAUCCUCUUAAAAUUCUGAAAUUCUCUAAUAUUUUUUUCCUUAUCUUGUCUGCAUAAUUGAGAACCAUCUUGAAUCCCUCUGUGUUCACACUUCAUACCUUGUGCUGCCACUAUGUUCCAAUCACUUAAACAUGAGAUCUUUGCAUAUUAUUCCUGUGGGGACAAAUUUUUGCAUGUUUCCUAGAAAGAAAGUCGUCCUCCAUCAGCAAGUGCUUUGUGGUGAAAAAGAGGGGAUGUCACAGCAGGAGCAGAGGCAGCAGUGGAGAGUCCCACCCUGCACCGUGCCUCAGAGAGACACUGAUGUCUGAGACAAGCUGGGAUUUCUUUCCCAGCAAUAUCUUUGCUCUUCAAUGGCUGUGAGUGAAAGGCUUUGACACCCUCCAUCAGCACAGCACCAGGUGAGGGCUGGCACACGUUCCCUGCCACCCUCCCUCUGGCAAUGCAGCUGCCACUGCCCCUGGUGCCACCCACCAAGUCUCAGCACAAUGGGAAGGGAAGGAAAAAAGCCACUUCCCCCUGCACAGACACAUUGCACCAAGGGCAGAGAAAAUUGAUCUCUGGCUGCUGAGCCUCUCUAGCACUUUGUGUUGCUGAAAGGAAUAAUCAAGCCUGGCCCUGGAGAAGGCAAAGCCAGAAAGGAAAUAAAAGCUUUCCCUGUCUGAUGAUUUCUCUCUGGGGUUGGGGCACUCCCUGGGGACCCCAGUGGUGGUUUUGGGAGAGGCUUUUGCUCUGGGGCCUGGUUCAGCAGCAGAUCCACAACAAUCCCACAAAAUUUUGCUUUUCCUGCUCACGCAGCAGCUCCGAGGGAAAGGGGAAGAGGCUGCCAGGGCUCCCAGCUGAGUCCCCAGCAAAGGGGCUGCCACAUGCACUUACACUGGGCUUGCCCAGGAUGUCACUUGAGCCACAGCACAACUUCUCUCCAUGGAGAAGUUGGCUGCUUCUCUCCAAGCAGCCAUGGUCUGAUACAGAAGCCUGGCUUUCUCCAGGUUGUGCCCCUCACAACAACUGCAAGGGUUGGAGUUUGGGGACAAGUGCUGUCCCCAAGCUGUUUGGGGACAAGUCCUGAAGUGCCACUUAUGAGGCUGAGCAGGGGAGAAGGCUCCUCACUUGCCCUCAAGCCAAGGGUUUGAGCUCUGCCCUCCACAAGAGUGUGGGCCAUUUGCCACAGCCCAUCACCAGAGGCUCAAAAUCUCUAUCUAAUACUCUGUCAGCUGAACAAUUACCAAAUUAAAAGAAAAAUCCACACUGAAAGGGGAGUCCAGAGGCUCCUCCUGGCUGCCAGCAGCACACCCUGAGCUGGCCUAGCCCCAGCUUCAGCUACCUGCAGUCCAGGGCACACACAUUUCCUCAGGCAGCCCCCUCAGCCCCAUCCUUGCCAAGCUGUCCAAGACCUGGGGGUGGAGAUGUUGGCAGUGUCAGGCUCCUGUGAGCAGGGCUGUGGGGCCACCAUCACAUCCCCACACUGGUCCAGGGGAGCUGACUGUCACCUCAGCCCCAGGUAAGCGCUGCUGAGGGAUGCCCUAUCAUUUGGUGCCCUGUGGAAGAUGCAGGCUGGUGAGGCUGCAGGUGGGAGAGGCAGAGGAGGAGGAGGUGGCAGAUCUGUCCCAGCUCCUGCUCUGCAGCCUGUGCCAGGACCGGCCAGGCUGGCUGGCGGGGGUGUUCGUGACUCAUGAUCCCCGAUCACCACCCGAUGACACAUUUACUGCCAGCAGGACGGGCCUCCUGCCAGCACAGCAGCCCUGCAGCCUCAUGGGAGGGUGGCUGGGCUUUGCCAGCAGCUGUGCUGAUGCAGAUGGGUGGGGAGGUCACCAGCUGCAGCCCUGGGAUGCACAACCUGAGGUACCCCUGGCUGGGUGGGUAAUGGGGGCAGACCAGGACCCUCUGUCCCAAUGUUCAGUUUGGGAGAACAGGGGCAGGGAUGGGACCUGGCCCGGGCCAAGCUCAGCAGGCCUUGGAGCCAGCCCAGCUCCCUCACCUCCCACAGCACCCUCCCUGCCUGCCCAGAGAGCUGGCUCCCGGCAGCAGGCACGGUGACAAAUGCCUUUAAAACAUUCUUUAUUAAGUGAGAAAUCUCACUGCGCUCCCUAUGCCAAGCCCUAAUACAGUGCAGACCUAAAUACAGCACUAAUGCAAAAGCUUAAAGGAUUUCCCAUAAUUGAGCAAGGCUGGCAGAGGGGCGAGAGCCUGGUGGGGGGAACUGCAGCCCACCUCCCUCCUCAGCGUGGGCUACCCUCAGUCUAUCCCCACUGGUCCACAUGUGGCCACAGCCCCCACCCAUGGACUGUUCAGUGUAGAAAAUUAAAAUCUUCUAAGGCCUCAUCCUCCCCAGCUCAGAGCUCCAAGUUGCCCUCAUUACCCUCACCCAAAUCCCCUUGAUUUAUGCAAUAGCACAAGUAGCAUCGUGAUGUGUGACCUGUGCGUCACCCGUCCUCUCGCUGCCAGCACUGCUGGGGCCCUGCCUGUCCCAAACCUUGCUGAGGGUCACAGCAGGGCCAGGACAGCAGGACUGGGCACAUCCAGCUUCCAAAGCACAAGGGAUGCUCCAGACAGGGGAGCUGCUGAGCCAGCACCCGCUGCUCCUGCACACUCCAGCACCAUGGGGUGUGGGUGGCCACCAGCACCUUGCACCUCAGACAAUAGAUGGUCUUACCUUUGUAUUUCCUCUGCCUUGGCACAGCCACGUGGCUCUGAGAACAGUGAUGGCAAUAUCCUGGGUCUCCUUACCAGCACAGCAGAGCGUGACCCUCGGGCAGGCUCACCCCACAGGGCAAGUGGCUGAUGGCUUUGAUUCAUGCUUCUGCGGGGGAAAGCAAAAUACAGUUUUCUUCAAGAGUUUUUCAGAAGCUUUACAAAGCACAAGCACCUUUGUCUUGGUGCAGCCACAUGCAGCCCAAAACACCCCCAGUGCUCUUUGAUGUCAUCACCAGGAGCUGUUCACCAGUGGGAGCCCUGCCAGACAUUCCGUUGCCACUGUACUGCAGGUGUGGGGGCAAAACUGGGGGCUGGCAGGGCUGUGGGGCAGGUGGGGCCAUGGCCACAGAGGCCUCACGGCCAUGGGGAGCACAGGACGUGCAGAACUGCAGCAGAGGCAGUGCCAUGGAGAUGGGCUGAGGGCUGGUGCUGCGAGCAUUAAAGCAGAAGCGGCAUCGAUUACAGACACGGGCUCAGAGCAGCGGUGGCUGCGGAGGGUGGGAGGUAGCAGCUCCCUUGGGAAGGCUCUGAUAACAUUUACCAGCAAAUCAUUUCCACCAACCGUGGAGCAAAGCAGAAAUACCCCUGUGGAGCCCAGCUGUGGCUGUGAAGAGAGAAAUGGUGCAGCAGCACCGUGUCAGGGCCUCCUGCCUGGCAGCGGGGAUCUUCCUCAGGCAGGCGGUGAGGUGGCACAGUGCCAUUCCCUCGGGGGUGAGGUGGCACAGUGCCAUCCCCUCAGGGCUGGAUUUACACACUCGAUCCAGGGGAAGGACAGUUGGAAUAGUGGGGCAGAUGCCAGGGCACGUGGUGCUAAAGACUGGCAGAGCCACCCUGAAAAAGGCAAAAGGAGGAGGGAAUGGCAAAGCAAACAUCUUCUGACCGAGCCAGGCCUUGCUGGGUGGCUGCUCGUCCAAACCUGUCCCCAUGGCCUUCAGGCUGUGGCUUUUUCUGUCUCUCUGUCCACAGAGAGCUCAGAGGCCUCCCAGCCCACCCUCAGGGAUCCUUUGUUGGCAUGUGCUGCCAUCUCCGAGAUGCACUCAAGGCAUGUCUCACCUGGGCUGGAGGAGGCACCUGAGUCCACUGUCUGCAGUAACAGCUCAGAGCACAAGUGAGGGUGCAGGCUGUUCCUCACACUGCUCUGCUCUCUGACACGACCCCUGCUAGCGAGAGGUAAAGGCUGCCUGUGUUGGAGAGCAUAUUUUAGAUCCACAACUCAUUGGGGAUUAGCCAAACUUUUCUCCAUUCUCUUAUUUCUCAUAAUAAAUAGAUAAAACUGAUCUAUUCACCCAGCACUAAGACCAGAUUGAAUAAAAACUGGCUUUGGACCAUCUGAAUAUGGAGCAAGUCUUGAAAAAUUGAAUUUUUCCCAUGUUCCCCACUAAAGUUUCAACAGCCAAAGAGCUAAAAGAGGUUUUUGUAUGAAACUUCACUUUCCUGCACAAACAAGCCUCAAUGAAAAAGUAGAAGGGCCAGGUGCUGUAAGACUUCAAAAUGACACAUGCUGUAAAUAGAGUAUCAUAAAUAAUUUUGGUCAUAUCCUUUAAUCCAACCCCACCUAUAAAGCAGCUUGCAGCAGCUCCUCCUGUAACUUCUGCAAAUGGACCCCAGGUAAAAUCCCACAUCCCUGGCCCAAGGAUGCUGUUUGGCCUUGAAACACAAUUUAAAGUCUCAUGCUGGUGGACUACCCUCAAUUUUCAGUGCUAGUGUGGGACUCCGAGCCCCAGCCCCCUCCAUGGGGGAGGCUUCUGAGCAGAGCCGGUGUCUCCAGGCAGCCAAGGCCCAGCCCAUCCCAAAUCUCCAUAAAAUGCAUCACUUGAAAGCCCGUGUCUCCAUCCUGCAGAAAGAAAGCCAGACCAGAGCUAGCAAUAAAAAUGAUGAGUACCAUUCAGGCAGGAUCCCAUGCUUCCACAUCAACUGCCUAGAAAAGUUUCAGUUCCACUUUUUUUUUAAUCUUAGAAACAAUUCAGACAUUUAACUGUGCCAUCAGAUGAGGCAGGAGUCAUUUAUAGAAGAAAGCUCUAAGUGGCCUUGACACACAAAUAGAGUCAAUUAACCUGCAAGGAGAAGUCAGGGGAACAGGCUGAUGAAAAAGCAGCAGUUAUAUAAUUUGUCCUGGGCUCGGUCUGUCUGUUCUCAAAGUCAGCAGCUUGUCCUACUGAGCAGCGUCUGCCCAGCCUUCCCCUGGCCACCACUCCUGCCCAGAGCAGCUCUACUGCACCCACAUCCCCCACACACAUUCUCAAACUCCCAAUCCUAAUCCCUCCCCCAGGUGCCAAGAGUCAGAUUCUUAAAAUCCUUUGGGAAAGCAGCCAAGGAUCCCUCCCCUGCUGCAAGGGGACUCCCCUGCGCUGGCACCAGACCCCUCUGGCUGCACCAUCCAGGCUCACCCAGCACGCCGUGUCCCAUCACAGCCACCUGGGUGCCGAUGCUGCCCUGCCACUCAACACUCGCACAUCACAGGGGCAGUUACACCACAAGGGGCAGUUACACCACAAGGGGCAGUUACUCACAUCACAGGGGCA